AAUCAACGCUGGCGGUGUGCCUCAGACAUGCAAGUCGAACGAUUAAAGCUCUCUUCGGAGAGUGUAUAGAGUGGCGCACGGGUGAGUAACACGUAAGUAAUCUACCUUUGAGUGGGGAAUAACAGUCGGAAACGACUGCUAAUACCGCAUAAUGCAGCGGCAUCGCAAGAUGACAGUUGUUAAAGGAGCAAUCCGCUUAAAGAGGAGCUUGCGGCAGAUUAGCUUGUUGGUAAGGUAACGGCUUACCAAGGCUACGAUCUGUAUCCGGUCUAAGAGGACGGUCGGACACACUGACACUGAAUAACGGGUCAGACUCCUACGGGAGGCAGCAGUCGGGAAUUUUGGGCAAUGGGCGAAAGCCUGACCCAGCAACGCCGCGUGAAGGAUGAAGUAUUUCGGUA
rnacentral:rRNA from 1 species